rnacentral:snRNA from 2 species
CAGCUCAGGCCCGGUCUCAAAGCGAGCUAACCCUUCGCCUUUUACUAAAGGUUACCGUGCGAACGGGCCACUAUGAGCCUCUAGGCCAAUUUUUGGAUGGCCCUGAUCGUUUGACCGGGGCC